AAAUUAAUCCUUCCAAAUUACUCUACAAUACUACAUUCUCAGUUCAACUACCAUACAUUGCCAGUCACUCCCUUUCAGUAAACAUUUUGCGGUAAUGGAUAGAAAUAAAUUUAAUUUAAUUAUUAUAUUAGUACAAUGUUUAAAGAAUAUUUAUUAAAUAUGGAAAAAAAAUUCAGAGAGAAAUGUUACUAAGAAUGGUUAGGGAACGCUGAAGAAUAAGGCGUGAGACAAGUAUUUACUUCAAUGGAGGCUUCACAGGGAGCUGACUCUGGUCUUGAAACUGAGCUUGAAAAUGAGUCUAAUGAGAGUAGUAA